GUCAAUAUGGUACCGGAAAUCUCGGCUAAGAAAGGACAAGAUAAAGUCAACGGGAGUUAGCUCAAAAACUACGGUUAAGUUAAGGCUAGACUGUUAAAUCAGCAUUCCAGGCCGAUCCCAAAUUCAAUGAGGUAAAGUAUGUUGAGUAUUGAUAAUGGCAUGUACCUAGGAUGUUUAAUGAGAGUCAUUUAGGUUGUAAAAGUAUUGAUGAAAUAAGUAAAUUAUGGUUGGCAACGGUUUAUAGUA